AUUGAACGCUGGCGGCAUGCUUUACACAUGCAAGUCGAACGGUAACAGGCCGCCAGGUGCUGACGAGUGGCGAACGGGUGAGUAAUGCAUCGGAACGUGCCCAGUCGUGGGGGAUAACUACUCGAAAGAGUAGCUAAUACCGCAUACGAUCUAUGGAUGAAAGCGGGGGACCGUAAGGCCUCGCGCGAUUGGAGCGGCCGAUGUCAGAUUAGGUAGUUGGUGGGGUAAAGGCUCACCAAGCCAACGAUCUGUAGCUGGUCUGAGAGGACGACCAGCCACACUGGGACUGAGACACGGCCCAGACUCCUACGGGAGGCAGCAGUGGGGAAUUUUGGGCAAUGGGCGCAAGCCUGAUCCAGCAAUGCCGCGUGCAGGAAGAAGGCCUUCGGGUUGUAAACUGCUUUUGUACGGAACGAAACGGCUCUGGUUAAUACCCGGGGCUAAUGACGGUACCGUAAGAAUAAGCACCGGCUAACUACGUG
rnacentral:rRNA from 1 species